UGCUCGAGUUUGAAAAGACGCGGGAAGUGGGGACCCAUAUAUACCUCUGCGAUUCCAAUCCGCUUUUAUUAUUAGUACGGUUAGGGUUUUGCAUUCCUAGUCGGAUCGAUGGAGGACUCAACAGAUUCUGUCGCUCUUCCGAGAAAUGGAAUAGCAGGACGGAUAGAUCUCAGUCCUCCAGAUCGUCCAAUCCCCGAUCUAACGGAUCAGAUCCACCAUCUCCCUUGCUGCAUCAAGCUCAAUGGCCCCUGCCCCGUCUCCGACUACUUCAAGCCCAAAAAGACUGGCAUCGUUGUUGAUGGUUUAGAUGUAGAGGAAGCUUCAUUCCGAGGGCGGAAAUUGCAGGGUGCGACGAUUCCUAUUCCAGAAGGGUAUUGUGGCUUUGUCUUAGAGAGGAAGAGUCCAGUUGAUCAAUCAAAUAAAAGGAAGAGGGCAAAAGGUUUAGAAACUUCUGAAGGGGAUUCCAACUGUUGGGAGGCACGUGCGAAAUUUCAAAAUAUAACAUACUGGAAUCAUGACAAUCUCCCUUCCAAGGACGAUGCAUUUGUUCGUUUCUUUCAUUGGUUCUCUGUUGCAAAUGCUUUGCAUAAGCCUGUAACAGAAGAUGACUUGGCUUCUUCUUCUACCAAGGAACAGAAGUGAUAGACUGAUUUGGAAAGAGAGAAAAGGGGUGAUGUAGUAAAUGGGCCAACCUCCACUGUAUUGGCAGCUUAUGGAUUGGAGACAAAGGGUUCUUUUGAUCCAGCUGUGCUAAGAAUGCAUCUACCUGCUCUACCUCACCCUGCUCUACUUCAGAGACUUCCCAAAAAUAUGGAUCUUGGAAAAUCUUACUGUCUUAGGAUAGAAAUUGUGGAUAAGAGGUCUGAUUAUUGAUCAUUGGAGCCUGUUAUUGGUUGAAUGAGGAUCUUUAAUCACUAAUAUAGCCCAAAAACUAGUACUACUAAAACCUUUUCUGACUAGGGUGCUCAAAACUUCUAUUGUUGGAAGAAAAAUGUCAACAAGAUCAGCACUAGAAACACAAGCAGUCUUGUAAAAGGUCCUUGGACACUAAUUUUAUUUGUUUGUAUGUGUUAAUCAUUCCUUCUUUUAUAAUGCUUUAUUUAUUUAUUUUAAAAUGCUGCACAAAAACAAUGAAAAGGAAAGAUCCCCGAGACAGACAUUUCCAUAUGAGCAUUUUUUUAGAGCACUUGAAGGUAAAACAGCAAUUUUGCCUUUUAGAAGCACUUGCGUCAUUCAAAAUUUCAGUAUUGUUUGUACUUAGGGUUCGAGUCUGUCUGUCAAUCGUAGACAGACCGCUUGAGUUCAAGCCCAGCUUUGCUUAUGUAUCAAUAAUAAUAAUAAUAAUAAAAGUCAGUAAAAAGAUAAAAAA